rnacentral:rRNA from 1 species
CCUGGUUGACCCUUGCCAGAAAUAUAUGCUUGUAUAAAGGAUUAAGCCAUGCAAAUGUAAGAAUGAAGUACUCGUCUUACUUAAUCUGUGAACAGCUUAUUAUAAAAGUUAUAAUUUAUUUGAAUGUGGGAACUUAAAACAGUUCCAAAUUUUAUGUGGAUAACUGUGGGAAAGCUAGAGAUAAUACAUGCAAAAAGAGGAAACCUUAGCAAUAGGGAAUCCUUGUAUUAACUGGCCAUUUUAAAGGAGUACAAACUUUUUUGAUGAAACACAGUUUACUAAAUAACAGAGCCUAGCAAUAGGCCGCUUCAUUCAAAUCUCUUAUCUAUCAACUAUUAUCCGUUGUAUAGAGGACAACGGAGGUUUUGACGGGUGACAGCGAAUAUGGGUUUUAUUCUGGAGAGGGAGCCUUAGAAAUAGCUACCACUUCCAAGGAAGGCAGCAGGCGCGAAAAUUACCCAAUAAAAAUACUUUGAGGUAGUGACAAUAAAUAACGACUACGUAAAAAUAGGAGUAGAAAUACUCUUAUUUGUAGAUUGUAAUGAGUACAAUUUAAAUAAAUUAAUUAGAAUCAACUGGAGGGCAAGUCUGGUGCCAGCAGCCGCGGUAAUUCCAGCUCCAGUAGCGUAUAUUUAAGUUGUUGUAUUUAAAAAGCUCGUAGUUGAAACUUGUGAAGGGUAUUUUUGUGAUGACAAAGCAUAAGUUUUGUUGUUCAAAAUCUUUCACAUAUGCUUGUAUAACUGACCUUUUUGUAAAUGAAAGUUUAUGAAGAGUAAUUCAUUUAUACAUUUUACCAUAAGUAAUUUAGAGUGUUUAAAGCAGGACUUACGUCCAUUGAAUAAUAGAGUAUGGGAUAAUAAAAGAUGAGAGAGGGGAGAUGUAUUCUCUUUCUGGGAUGUCAAAGUCUCAGGGAGGUCUUUCUUUUCUAAUGAUUAAUAGGGACUAUUGGGGCAAUUAGUAUUUCUAGACGAGCGGUGAAAUGCGUAGACUCUAGAAAGACUAACUAAUGCGAAAGCAUUUUGCAAAGGUGUUUUCGUUAAUCAAGAACGAAAGUUUAGGGAUUAAAGAUGAUCAGAUACCGUCGUAAUCUAAACUAUAAACAAUGUCGACAAAAGAUGGGAUUGAAAAUAUAAAUAUAUUUUCAUUUCAAAUGGUACUAUUAAUGAAGCAAUGUAAGCAAUUAUGUUGUUUCUAAACUGUCUCUUCCCGAAUUUCGUAAGAAAUUAAGAGUGAUCGGACUUUGGGGGGAGUAUGGUCGCAAGGCUGAAACUUAAAGGAAUUGACGGAAGGGCACCACAAGGUGUGGAACUUGCGGUUUAAUUUGACUCAACACGGGGAAACUCACCAGGUCAGGACAUGAUAAGGAUUGACAGAUUAAAAGAUCUUUCAUGAUUUUAUGGGUGGUGGUGCAUGGCCGAUCUUAGUUCGUGGUAUGAAUUGUCGGCUUAAUUGCGUUAACGAACGAGACCUUUAGAGAUAAAUAGUGGUUUUUGGAAGGUGUAAAACUAUUGGGGGCGUCUCUCGGAGAAGGGCAUGUUCCCCUUCGAGAUGCCAUCGUCUUCAAUGGAUCUUCCAUUAAAUCCUACUCUUGAGAGCAAUCUUGGGAGUAGUCUGAACUUCUUAUUUCGACUAUUGAUGUUCAAUCAAUGUAAGUUAAAGGCAAUAUCAGGUCUGUGAUGCCCUUAGAUGUUCUGGGCCACACGCGUGUUACAAUGGUAAAGAUUAAAGGGUAAUUUUUGUAAGUUUAAAGGGAGUAAAAUUCUUUUAGAUGAGCAAGAUAUGCUUUACAGAAAUGUAUGGCUAAUCCUCUUUCGAAUCUUUUUUACCAUAUCUGGGAUAGAUGCUUGUAAUUUUUCAUCUUCAACUUGGAAUACCUAGUAAGCACAAUUCAACAAAUUGUGUUGAUUACGUCCCUGCCCUUUGUACACACCGCCCGUCGCUCCUACCGAUUGAAUUAUCCGAUGAGUUAUAAGGAAUAAUGGGAAGAAGCAAUUCAACUCGUUGUAAAUUAUAACAAAUCUUAUAAUUUAGAGGAAGGAGAAGUCGUAACAAGGUAACCGUAGGUGAACCUGCAGAAGGAUC